rnacentral:rRNA from 1 species
UACGUAGGGUGCAAGCGUUAAUCGGAAUUACUGGGCGUAAAGCGUGCGCAGGCGGUGAUGUAAGACCGAUGUGAAAUCCCCGGGCUUAACCUGGGAACUGCAUUGGUGACUGCAUUGCUAGAGUAUGGCAGAGGGGGGGUGGAAUUCCACGUGUAGCAGUGAAAUGCGUAGAGAUGUGGAGGAACACCGAUGGCGAAGGCAGCCCCCUGGGCCAAUACUGACGCUCAUGCACGAAAGCGUGGGGAGCAAACGGG